rnacentral:rRNA from 1 species
GACGAACGCUGGCGGCGUGCCUAACACAUGCAAGUCGAGCGGGGUGGUUCUGAAGGGCAACCGGAGGGAUCACCUAGCGGCGAACGGGUGAGUAACGCGUGGAUAACCUACCUCAAGGUCUGGGAUAACAGCUCGAAAGGGCUGCUAAUACCGGAUGUGGUGCAUAUGCUGCAUGGUAGAUGCACUAAAGGGGAAACCCGCCAUGAGAUGGGUCCGCGUCCCAUCAGCUAGUUGGUAAGGUAACGGCUUACCAAGGCGACGAUCAGUAGCCGACCUGAGAGGGUGACCGGCCACACUGGAACUGAGACACGGUCCAGACUCCUACGGGAGGCAGCAGUGGGGAAUAUUGCGCAAUGGGGGGAACCCUGACGCAGCAACGCCGCGUGGAGGAAGAAGGUCUUCGGAUUGUAAACUCCUGUCUUCUGGGAAGAAACGCAUGGAGGCCAAUACCCUUCAUGCCUGACGGUACCAACAGAGGAAGCACCGGCUAACUCCGUGCC